CAACCAUAUAACUUUUAUUUGGAAAUAAUCAAACAUAACUCAUUAUGUUGUCUUCCUUGUCCAACAUCAACCUUUUAGCAUAUAAUAUUUUAAUGAGUGCUCACAAUCAUAAGAGAUGUCUAAGAUAAUAUAUGUAUAUCUGAACCUAUCUUUUUUAUUACUUCCUUUUAAUUGCAACAUUGACCAAUAGCUUUGUUUGUCAACUCACAAGAAAUUUCAAUCAACA
rnacentral:lncRNA from 1 species